rnacentral:ncRNA from 1 species
CAGGGUAAGUAAUACGCGUAAAGUGCUUAAAAAUGGGACGUUGUUUUAAGACGAAGGCGAAAGCUGCGAUGUAUUAUUGCGUUCACUGU